CUGGUAUCCAUGAGUGUUUAUCACUGAUUUCAGGAUUUGGUUCAAAAACAAUCCUUGUUUUAAAUAAGCUCCAUGGCCAUCGUACACAGUAACUGCUGAAUUAUGAGAACUCUGGCAGCACACAUUAAAGUUUUAAAGAACACAGGGAAUUUCAUUCCUGAGCUACUUCAGUACGUUGCAACUAUCUCAUUUUGUAAUUCUCAAUGGCCAGACAACUGAAAAACAGCUGUUGGUGAGGCUGAACUUGAGCAGUCUUCCAUUUGGUGACAGAUUGACUAAAUCGCAGCAGCCGUCCCUGCAGGUGUUUGAGAACCACGCAGGUGGUGCUGAGGGAUGUGGUCAGUGGGCAUGGCAGGGGCGGCUGGGCCUGGGGAUCCUGAAGGGCUUUUCCAACCUUAAUGCUUCUAUGGUUUUAUGAUACUCUUGGGGCAAAACUGAGCCAAGAAUUCAGCCACCAGGCUGUAAGAUCGAGGAAGGAGAAGUGCCGAAUGUGUAGCAUCACACCCCCAGGGGCUGUAAAUCAGCUAGGUAGGAGUGACUUCAGUUACAUAGUGCCAGCUAGAGCCAAUCUCCACAGGAAUCUGAAAACCAAGCUUCUUCCUUCCAGCUUCAGCCCGUCUGCACCACGUGGAGCUCCAUUUUUCCACCAUCUAAAAUCGGUGACCACAGCUCAGGCAGUUACCACGUUUGUUCACAUAAUUGAAAUAAUUCAGAAGAUCUUGCCUGCCUUAAGCUGUUUGUCUCCCAAACUAAAAACAAAUCCUGCUCCUUGAGCAGGGAAUAUUAAAGCCAUAUUUAAAUAAGUCCCGUAGAAAACAAGGCUAUUAAAUGCACGUUAUCACAACAUCAAGUUAACCCGGUUCAGAAAUGAUCACAGUGUAUGACUGCCUUCACAAAUAACACAAGUACUAAUUGUCAAUUUCAAUAGCGAGGAAGGGUUUUAAUCAGUUCUGAAGAAAGAAUGGCAGCUUUUAUUGCACAAUUACUUCUUAAUUACAUUUGCUGCAGCUCCUAAUUUCCAAAAAGUGUUAGUUUUGCUUUUCUAGCUAUUGAGAACCAGCAGAGUAUAUUAAGAAUAGGUCCUUUUUCUGAACUAUUUUGGAAAAAGCCUGGCAGCAGAUCACUUGGGGCUCGGAUCUGUUCUGUGCUGCUGCCUGCCCUGCGCUGCCCAGCAAUGUCAGAAGCAAGGUUGAAGGUAAUUUGAGAGGGCUCAGACAAUCAGAGCUCAACCCCCGUCCGUUUUGUAAGGAUCAGCAGUUACUAUUUAAAUUUAAAAUGUAUUGGCAUAAAUGAGGAAUCCUGACUUCUUACAUUUUUACCGUUAAGUCCUUUUAUGGGUGGCCUUAAAGAUGCACUGCCAUUUCCAGAGGCUGGAGUGUAUUUUUAGUGGAAGCCUUUUGAUAGCAUUGUUAGAAACUGAUUGCAUUCCAUCCCUAACGUCAGCCUGAUGCAGAGUAUUUUGCAAAGGCAGUUUGUUAUAAAUUGUUGGUAAGUGUCAGAUAAAAGCAUCAUUCUACUACAAGCAACUAGCGGUAGGCAUGUAAUAACAUUUACAUUAAUAUUUUAUUUAAAUGUAUCAUCAAUUCACAUAGUCACCCAGCUCAGUAACUGGUACGAAUACUGAAAUAAUACGCCUAUAGCCUACAGAAGAACACUCUGAAAUUUACCAAGAAGGUAUCCAAAAACACACUUGACAUUUUUACAAAUGUUAGCUGCGUUCAGUUUCCACUAAUAACAACUAUGAAAUUUGUUUAUGUCUUCCCUUCAGGUCUGCAAUGGGGGACGCAGUGCUGCAGGCAGCAGAUGUGAGCAGUGGCAGCCCAGAGGACGGGGGGCAGCCAUGCUGUGCCUCCAGCAGCACUCACUGCCCGGCCCAGGAAUCCGUUCACGUCCACCAGGAGGAUGGAAUAAAGUGGAAAAUAUGGCAAGAAGAAAUACAGUCUUAAUAGUUGACAGACAGAAGACCCCAACAGACAGCAGAGCAAACACCACCACUGCACAGAACGAUCCCCAUCCCUUGGCUUUACCCAGGGCUCCACCCAAAGUGGCUGCAUCCCCAGACAAGGCCCCACGCUCAGCUGCUGCGGCCAGGGAGAGGUUUUAUGGCUAAUUUGUGUUCUUCAUGUCCAACUGCCCAACCCCAACCCAACCACCUCUUCCAGGGCAGCCAUGGAACAGAACUCUGGUGCCAAUUCUUCAUCUAAAAACCUCUGAAUGGAUUUGAAAUAGCUAUUUUUUAACACGAUGCUGAUGAUACACCCAUAAUAGGGAGCAGAGCAUUUUUCUUUGGGGGACAGGAGGAAAAAGGAAACA